rnacentral:rRNA from 1 species
AGUGAACGCUGGCGGUAGGCCUAACACAUGCAAGUCGAACGGCAGCACAGUAAGAGCUUGCUCUUACGGGUGGCGAGUGGCGGACGGGUGAGGAAUACAUCGGAAUCUACUUUUUCGUGGGGGAUAACGUAGGGAAACUUACGCUAAUACCGCAUACGACCUACGGGUGAAAGCAGGGGAUCUUCGGACCUUGCGCGAUUGAAUGAGCCGAUGUCGGAUUAGCUAGUUGGCGGGGUAAAGGCCCACCAAGGCGACGAUCUGUAGCUGGUCUGAGAGGAUGAUCAGCCACACUGGAACUGAGACACGGUCCAGACUCCUACGGGAGGCAGCAGUGGGGAAUAUUGGACAAUGGGCGCAAGCCUGAUCCAGCCAUACCGUGUGGGUGAAGAAGGCCUUCGGGUUGUAAAGCCCUUUUGUUGGGAAAGAAAAGCAGCAGGUUAAUACCCCGCUGUUCUGACGGUACCCAAAGAAUAAGCACCGGCUAACUUCGUG